AUUGAACGCUGGCGGCAUGCCUUACACAUGCAAGUCGAACGGCAGCGCGGGCUUCGGCCUGGCGGCGAGUGGCGAACGGGUGAGUAACAUAUCGGAACGUGCCCUGGAGUGGGGAGUAACUAGUCGAAGAUUAGCUAAUACGCAUACGAUCUACGGAGGAAAGUGGGGACCGGCAAGGCCUCAUGCUCGUGGAGCGGCCGAUAUCUGAUUAGCUAGNGGUGGGGUAAAGGACCUACCAAGGCCACGAUCAGUAGCUGGUCUGAGAGGACGACCAGCCACACUGGGACUGAGACACGGCCCACGACUCCUACGGGAGGCAGCAGUGGGGAAUUUUGGUACAAUGGGCGCAAGCCUGAUCCAGCAAUGCCGCGUGAGUGAAGAAGGCC
rnacentral:rRNA from 1 species